ACGCGUGGAACCUUACCAGGUCUUGACAUCCUUCGCUACUUCUAGAGAUAGAAGGUUCCCCUUCGGGGGACGAAGUGACAGGUGGUGCAUGGUUGUCGUCAGCUCGUGUCGUGAGAUGUUGGGUUAAGUCCCGCAACGAGCGCAACCCUUGAUCUUAGUUGCCAGCAUUCAGUUGGGCACUCUAAGGUGACUGCCGGUGACAAACCGGAGGAAGGUGGGGAUGACGUCAAAUCAUCAUGCCCCUUAUGACCUGGGCUACACACGUGCUACAAUGGAUGGUACAAAGGGCUGCAAGACUGCGAAGUUAAGCGAAUCCCAUAAAACCAUUCUCAGUUCGGAUUGCAGGCUGCAACUCGCCUGCAUGAAGCUGGAAUCGCUAGUAAUCGCGGAUCAGCAUGCCGCGGUGAAUACGUUCCCGGGCCUUGCACUCACCGCCCGU
rnacentral:rRNA from 1 species